rnacentral:rRNA from 1 species
UACGGAGGAUCCGAGCGUUAUCCGGAUUUAUUGGGUUUAAAGGGUACGCAGGCGGGAGAUUAAGUCGGCGGUGAAAUUUUGCAGCUCAACUGUAAAAGUGCCUUCGAAACUGGUUUCCUUGAGUGUAGAUGAAGUAGGCGGAAUUUGUGGUGUAGCGGUGAAAUGCAUAGAUAUCACGAGGAACUCCGAUUGCGAAGGCAGCUUACUAAGCUACUACUGACGCUCAGGCACGAAGGCGUGGGGAUCAAACAGGAUUAGAUACCCCUGUAGU